rnacentral:lncRNA from 1 species
CGGAACUCCAGGUGCUGGGUCUUCCAGGAGCGCGCCUGCGCGGGAGGGUGACCACAGGCGGCCGGGCGGGAUGUCCUGUCCGCAGUCUUCAGCCCAGCCGCCGCCACCCAUAAGCUAUGAGGAGGAGUUUACGACCACCUGGACUACUACCACCUGCGUGACUUCCCGGCCUGCGGGGUCCGCGCAGCAAAGGCUUGACGCUGCUGGAGCAGGCGCUGCGCACCUACUGGCUGGCGCCUGGUAGGCACGAGCGCAGGGUCGCCCAGAAGCUCCUCAAUGGCCUGAGCAAGUACCAGCCAGCGCCAGCUGCAGCCCUGGCCGCGCACUCGCCUCAGCUGAGCCUGGAACUUCCGAAUUUCAACAGAUGCCAGUGUUCUCUCCUUUUUUCACAUGGGAAAAUUCCCUUGAAACUCAUUUGAAGCUUGGACAAAAAUUCCACAGCUGUAUUCUUCAGGAUCACUUUGCAGAGUCUUCAAGACUCAGAUACAGAGGAAGCUUCAAUUCAACCUUUCAGAGAAGAUUCCAGCUCGCAUGAUCUCAUCAACCAAGAGAAUGUUGGUGGCAACCAGUGCUGAAAGGGGGAUAAAAAUUAGAUAGCUCAGAUGAUUAGGAGCCCUAAUUCGACUCAACUUCCCACUUCCAACUAAGCUGCACACGUUAACAUCCAAUUAAAUUUCCCCCUUCCCCUCUACACAUCAGAGGGCUAGUUCGGUUUCCAUACUUUCAGCUGAUUACAUUAUUCAUGGGGGAAAAUGAGCAACUAAACAGAAAACACCAAAUGAAGAGUAUGAUGAUUCUCUAACAGUUUAGUUUUCAUUUUCCCAAACUUACCAGGAAUGAAGAAGCUGUUUCUUUACACAAUCGUUAUCCCAUAAUGCCUGCUUCUGCUGCUACCACGGGCUCACCUAAAAGGCAACCAAAGUAAAUUCAGUCAAUAAGAACCAACAAUAUUGUGUGUGGCUUUGCUUAUCACCGAUGACUCAUUUCCUCCAGUAUUAACUAUGGGAAUUCAAAGCUUCUCUGUUAGCCCAAUUUUCUACUCUAAACCAUGACCCCUGUCCACAAUAUUUGAGGAGUGUCUGACUUCUACUUAGAAGACCUGAACACCCCUCUCUCCUUCUGGAUACAUUUCUGUUUACCCAUACUAAAGUACAGCACUGCAACUCUAAUCUGGCUAAAAUGGACUGAUCAUUUCCCUCAUUCCAGAAAUCUUUUUUAUUAAAUAAUAAUGUUGACAGC